GGGACCCGCACAAGCGGUGGAUGAUGUGGUUUAUUCGAUGCAACGCGAAAACCUUACCCACCUUUGACAUGUACGGAACCCUUUAGAGAUAGAGGGGUGCUCGAAAGAGAGCCGUAACACAGGUGCUGCAUGGCUGUCGUCAGCUCGUGUCGUGAGAUGUUGGGUUAAGUCCCGCAACGAGCGCAACCCUUGUCAUUAGUUGCUACAUUCAGUUGGGCACUCUAAUGAGACUGCCGGUGACAAGCCGGAGGAAGGUGGGGAUGACGUCAAGUCCUCAUGGCCCUUAUAGGUGGGGCUACACACGUCAUACAAUGGCUGGUACAAAGGGUUGCCAACCCGCGAGGGGGAGCCAAUCCCAUAAAGCCAGUCGUAGUCCGGAUCGUAGUCUGCAACUCGACUGCGUGAAGUCGGAAUCGCUAGUAAUCGUGGAUCAGAAUGUCACGGUGAAUACGUUCCCGGGUCUU
rnacentral:rRNA from 1 species